CACCCGGGCAAUGACCCCCCCCCCCUUCCUGUGGGAGCGGAUGUCACCGAGAUAACAACUCCCUCCACAGUGGGAGCUGAUGAUGUCACUGGGGCACUGACUGCCUCCACGCGGGAGCCGAUGAUGUCACUGGGGCACUGACUCCGAUGAUGUCACUGGGGCACUGACUGCAGUCCAGAACACAGGAAGGAAUCAAGUGGAGCCAUGUCCAUAAUGGCCUCUUCCAUAUGUCUUGGGGCCUGUGGGGGGAAGGACUCCACAAUGGACCCCCAUUUCUCAUACACGGGAGGUCUGGACGGUGGGAGCCAGUGUCAGUCACCUCCAUCUUAAGGCAAAAGGUUUGUGAGGGGAGGUGGGGAUUCAUGUCCAGCAGCAGAAAUAAAUAGGAGCGGGGCGUCCAGCAUGCACAGGUCCAGUCAUUAUGGCCAUGGACACUGGAGGGCCAAUGUCACAGCCACAGGCAGAGGAGCCGUUAAACGAUGGCCCUCCCCCAACACGAUGAACCAUACAAAUUA